GACGAACCGAGCGAACGUUGUUCGGAAUCACUGGGCUUAAAGGGCGCGUAGGCGGGCUGUCAAGUCUGGGGUGAAAUCCCGCGGCUCAACCGUGGAACUGCCUCAGAUACUGACGGCCUCGAGGGAGGUAGGGGCGAGCGGAACUAAUGGUGGAGCGGUGAAAUGCGUUGAUAUCAUUAGGAACUCCGGUGGCGAAAGCGGCUCGCUGGACCUUUUCUGACGCUGAUGCGCGAAAGCUAGGGGAGCAAACGGG
rnacentral:rRNA from 1 species